UACAGAGGUCCCAAGCGUUGUUCGGAUUUACUGGGCGUAAAGGGCGCGUAGGCGGGAUGGCAAGUCAGUCGUGAAAUCCCUGGGCUCAACUCAGGGGGGUCGGCUGAUACUGCCGUUCUUGAGGGAUGCAGAGGAGACUGGAAUUCCCGGUGUAGCGGUGAAAUGUGUAGAGAUCGGGAGGAACACCGGUGGCGAAGGCGGGUCUCUGGGCAUUCCCUGACGCUGAGGAGCGAAAGCGUGGGGAGCGAACAGG
rnacentral:rRNA from 1 species